AGAGUUUGAUCAUGGCUCAGAGCGAACGCUGGCGGCAGGCUAACACAUGCAAGUCGAGCGCCCCGCAAGGGGAGCGGCAGACGGGAGAGUAACACGUGGGAACAUACCUUUUGGUUCGGAACAACUGAGGGAAACUUCAGCUAAUACCGGAUAAGCCCUUACGGGGAAAGAUUUAUCGCCGAAAGAUUGGCCCGCGUCUGAUUAGCUAGUUGGUGAGGUAACGGCUCACCAAGGCGACGAUCAGUAGCUGGUCUGAGAGGAUGAUCAGCCUCAUUGGGACUGAGACACGGCCCAAACUCCUACGGGAGGCAGCAGUGGGGAAUAUUGGACAAUGGGCGCAAAGCCUGAUCCAGCCAUGCCGCGUGAGUGAUGAAGGCCUUAGGGUUGUAAAGCUCUUUUAACGGGGAAGAUAAUGACGGUACCCGUAGAAUAAGCCCCGGCUAACUUCGUGCCAGCCGCGGC
rnacentral:rRNA from 1 species